rnacentral:misc_RNA from 1 species
AGAUUUUAAAGCUGCAUAAACAAGAUCAUAUAUUGAUACCGACUCUGAAUUAACAUAUUUAAAAACAAUUGCAGACAUGUUACCAUUACAUAAACAGAAAAGGGCACUAAUUACACGUCUAAGAGCUCAUCUUCCAGGGACUUUGUUAGACCUUUCAGAGCUAGCUAUCAAUUGCAUAAUUUAACAUCAUUAAAGUAUGUAAUGCAUAAUAUACAAGUGCACCAAUCAAUAAUCACCAAGAACCAUUUCUUAAAAAAAGAAGAAGAAGAAGAA